GCCUCUGCUGUUUCCUGCAGGAGGUUAGUCGGCUCCCAGCACCGUUCUCUGAGGAAACAUCUGAGAGCUUCAACGCCCUUGGCGGAGUCCAUUCUCCCAGACUUGAUGGUUAGAGCAUACAAGGCGUACAGACACACCAGGGUGCUGAGGUCCAAUACACCCGCGACAAACAGCAAUUUAUCCACCCCCUUGUGCAAAACCCGGAUCCGAUGCCUCCUCUGCCUAACUCCAGUCACCCAGAGCCUCGUCUCGUGGGUCUCCAGCCUCCUGGUCCAAUCGGCUGGGGCCGCCUCUCAUCUUCCAGGACCCGCCCUCUCCCGCCGGAAGCGCCCUCCUCCUGGCGGAAACAGCUUCUCCCCGUCCCGCCCCUCAGUCUGCUCUUCACACGGAUACCACGAAUGCCACGGUGGCCUCCUGAAGACGGAGUCUGGUCUCACAUUCCUCCAGCUUCCUAUGCAUAAACCCCAGCGAAGGGUGAGCGCACGGCAUGGCACCUGCAGCAUGGGGUUCACGUUCUGGAAGGUUCUGGCUGACUCCCACCCCGCCCUUCACUGGCCAAGUAAACUUGCAGAAGUUACUUAACCCUUGACCUAGAAGAGCCUCCUGUCACCUGAAAAGGGAAAGUCGGGAUUGUAAGGAAAGGAAUCUCAUAGGGCUUCUCUGAGGAGACAAAUCAUUGGAUUGGGCUUAGACGUUCCAUCCGUGGCAAGAUUUCCGGCUUUGCCCUUUGGAGCCUGAGGAGCAAGGGUAGAAUGAGGAUCGUGAGGUUCUUCAGAGGCAGUUACUCACGAGGUCACAGCGCAGAAACGGCAAGAAAUGUCAGGACAACUAUGGAUGUGAAGGAUGGGAGAGGGGCCUCCUUCCGCAUGAGGUCCCCAGAGUUCUAAAGGCUACUUCAGCAGGUUCAGAAUUCCAAGGAAACCUACUUUCAACAGUGUGAGACCUGUGCCUCAGUCAGCCGGGUGUGGAGUGGCCAGGUCGCACAUCAGCUGCAGGCACAGCCAGUUCAUGGGUAGACAGCCACAUCCUGCCCCAGGAGGAGGGCAGCCAGCAUGGGCGAUGCAAGCUCCCCUCGUCUGGAACCAGCACAACCUCAGGCACUCGAGCCUUGGCCCCUCACAAGCAACGUCCUCAAUGGGUGGCGUUCGUUCAUCUUGGAGGCAUAGCUGGGACCCCAGGGACAGGAGCUGCCCGGCUGGCUCCACCCCGGAACACAGGACCUGCCUCCAAGCUCCUUCGAGGUUGGGAUCUGUGAGCAAACAUAAAAACCGAUCAUCACAAUAAUUGCCACAUCACAGAAGACUGUUGCAUCCAUGAAUGCCUUUAAUCCCCAGUCCGCUGGCCACGAAGCGGAUUAGGAGAGAGAGGUUUAGUCCCAGACCUGCCUCAUUAAAAACAUCUCCUUUCUACCAUGAGGACUUUCACCUGUACAUGCAAGAGGUUAUUAUAUACAGAUUAAGAAUUAACACAGU
rnacentral:lncRNA from 1 species